rnacentral:lncRNA from 1 species
UUUUAUAGAUAAAUAUUGUAGAUUUGGGUUUGUGAUUUAAAAAUUAGGAUAACUAGACUAUUUGUGUAAAUAUGAAUACUCUUUAAGAAAUUUUCAUCAAUAUGUUGUAUUUUAAAAUAAUUCUCUUAAAAACUGUUAUUUUUGGAAAGUUUUCAUUUUUAGAGAAAUAAUGUAGAUUUGGGUUUGUGGUUUAAAAAUUAGGACAACAAGAAUAUUUGUGGAUAGAUGAGUAUUCUUUCGGAGUUUUUCAUCAAUAUGUUGUAUUUUAAAAUAAUUCUCUUAAAAACUGUUAUUUUUGGAAAGUUUUCAUUUUUUAGAGAAAUAUUAUAGAUUU